rnacentral:lncRNA from 1 species
ACCCGCUGGGUGCACAGGACUUGUUCGCAGCUUGCUGGCGCGUGCCGGUUACAGCGUUCAGAGAGCUGACCCGGUGCUGCCUCCUUGACACGAGCAGAGGGAAGCUGGCCUCCAGGACACAGAAGAAGUAAAGGAGAAGAGGUUUGUGUGGCAGGUGAAUGCAGCCGCCGUGCCCGUGCUGGCAGCGUCAAGGCAGUGGGAAGGGAAAGCUUCCCCUCUGUGGCUGUUGUGCCAAGAAGCAUUGUGUCUCCCCACCAGCCGUGCUCUGAAAGGGUCUCUUCCGUUCAGAAGGGGACUUAGCGCAGGGCGGUCCUACUCCACAAACCUUGUGGAAGGAGCAGAAAGAGGAUCCCCUUGCUUUGAUAGAAAUGAGUGAAGUGCGACGUGUCACUGCGGUGAAAGCAGUCCAGGAUCUGCUGUUUGGGCUUCUGAGUCCAGGCAGGAAGAGGAGUUACUGUGCAGCCAGAUGGUUUCGUUUUUUCAGGAAGAUUAAUUACCUAGCAUCAACCGGCCUGGCCCUGGUAUCCGAGAAACAAGUACUUACGGCAACAGGUGGGUCCCUGGGAUCCCCGAGUUUCUGCAGUUUGCAACAGGCCUCUCUGGUAAGCAGAGUGGAGACCGUACUUCCCAGUGCAAUCCGUGCAGCGCUGAUUGCUGCUGCUGUGACCUUCUGCAAGAAAGUACCCAAGCAGGUACCAGCUCAGUCUCUGUCGGAGACGGUUGUGGGCCACGCAGAUGACUGCUGUGGAGCUGCCUGGCUGGUCUACGAGUUUGGGGAGAGGAGUCAGAGAGGUCACCCAUGCUCGUUAUGUUCCUCUAAGUUCCCAGCCAAAUGUGCUGACAGAAGAAAGUGUUCCCAACAGUUCAAACUCUGCCGAGAUCCUCUGUCAAGUCUUGUUCCUGCAGCCUGCACUGUCCACACUAUCGUCAAAGGGGGAAAAGGCGAGUUCUUAGUAUGCGUUUAUUAA